rnacentral:lncRNA from 1 species
GGGGACUUUGGGCCCCAGGGUAACAGCUUGACCUCUGGAGGCACUGGAGACAAAGAUCAGCCACGUGGCAGUCAACCAUGUCUAUCUGACCAAGUUCCAAUGAAAACUCUGGACACCAAGGCUUGGGUGAGCUUCCGCAGUUGUACAUGUAUUGAUUGAUACACUUGGAGAUAUUUCUCAAAAGACUCCUCUGCGGGAGAGGAGAAUAGCUGUACUCUAAGCAGUUCGCAGGGAGCAUCUUUCAGCAGCUGAAACAGCUUUGCGGCCUUGCUGUAAUGAAGAUCUGCCAGCACCCGGUGUUGUUUCCUAAGGUGUUCAUCACCAACCUAGAACCAAACCAAAACAAGCAACAAAUCCUUCACGAGACCGUCCAGGCUGGACUUGAACUCCUUCCUCGGCUGAAGUGAUCCUCCUGCCUCAGCGUCCUGAAUAGGAAGUGGAGCCAGAAUCCACAGAUGUCAUUAUCCAUCUGCACACUUUGUUUACUACCCAGAAGGCAAGAAUAUUGCAUUUUAAAAGUGCCCGGACUUUUGUUCUUUCUUAUCACAAAUGACUUGGGAAGCUCCGACCACUCAUGUUUACCCCGAGUGAAAGUCCCAUUCAAAGCCUUGCUUCCUGGAGAGCUUUGAGAUUCUGGUACAAAAGGCAUUUUAUAAGCACAAAGUGGAAAAGCAUCAUUCAUAUUCAUUUGCUGCUGCGGCAUUUCUCCCUGGAAUCUUCCUCUUGUCUGUCAACAUUGGGCAAAAGGACUGGCCUCAUCUACAUUACAGAUAUCCUUGUGAUGGUCUGGAGGGACCUGUGGGAGAGGCGGCCAUCCAGAGGGCUCUCUGAGGGGUCAUUUAGAAUGCAACUCUUCUGGGCAGAGGAUGGUCUGCACUGGCCUCCACCACGCAGGAAGGCUUCCAGAGUGGAGAAAUGUCCACUAACAUGGCUUCUGUGAGGUAUCAUUCUGAUCAUUGUUGUUACAGGAGAGAUGAGAGGAAGUUAGAGGGGCUAGAAGAACCAGGAGACCUGUUGAAAAUCAUGAAUACAAAGAGAGGUCGUUUGCUUCUGUGCUUCAAUUCUAUAAUAAAAUGAGUACAAUGUCA